rnacentral:rRNA from 1 species
GACGAACGCUGGCGGCGUGCUUAACACAUGCAAGUCGAACGGAAAGGCCCUGCUUUUGUGGGGUGCUCGAGUGGCGAACGGGUGAGUAACACGUGAGUAACCUGCCCUUGACUUUGGGAUAACUUCAGGAAACUGGGGCUAAUACCGGAUAGGAGCUCCUGCUGCAUGGUGGGGGUUGGAAAGUUUCGGCGGUUGGGGAUGGACUCGCGGCUUAUCAGCUUGUUGGUGGGGUAGUGGCUUACCAAGGCUUUGACGGGUAGCCGGCCUGAGAGGGUGACCGGCCACAUUGGGACUGAGAUACGGCCCAGACUCCUACGGGAGGCAGCAGUGGGGAAUAUUGCACAAUGGGCGGAAGCCUGAUGCAGCAACGCCGCGUGAACGAAGAAGGUAUUCGUAUCGUAAAGUUCUGUCCUAUGGGAAGAUAAUGACAGUACCAUAGAAGAAAGCUCCGGCUAAAUACGUG